GAUGAAGAACGUAGCGAAAUGCGAUAAGUAAUGUGAAUUGCAGAAUUCAGUGAAUCAUCGAAUCUUUGAACGCACAUUGCGCCCGCUAGUAUUCUGGCGGGCAUGCCUGUCCGAGCGUCAUUUCAACCCUCAAGCCCCCGGGCUUGGUGUUGGGGAUCGGCGAGCCUCCGCGCCCGCCGUCCCCUAAAUCUAGUGGCGGUCUCGCUGUAGCUUCCUCUGCGUAGUAGCACACCUCGCACUGGGAAACAGCGCGGCCACGCCGUUAAACCCCCAACUUCUGAACGUUUGACCUCGGAUCAGGUAUGAAUACCCGCUGAACUUAAGCAUAUCAAUAAGCGGAGGA
rnacentral:misc_RNA from 1 species